UUAAAAACUUUAGCGCCAUGCACCGGCAGGAACGGGAAAUUGUGUCGGUUAACGAGGUUUCAGGUUAUCGAAAAUUCGGCGGAUGCCUGGACGCAUAUAUGGAUGCGCAUCUCAAGCCAAAUAUGAUGGAGACAUCAAAACAAAGCGAGAGAACCAUAAAAA
rnacentral:ncRNA from 2 species